CCACACCGCCUCGGCAGAAAGAAAAACCAGGAUCCGUGUGCGCCGGGGUCGCAGGGCUCGCCCUUGGCUCGGGCUGAUGACAGCAGGCGGUUGCCAAGCGUGGCCCUGCGGAGCCUGGCCGAGCCCCGGGUUCCCAGGGCGGGUCGGUGUGGCAUCUGACCUGGGGGCAGAACAUUUUGAGUGACAGAGGAAGCUGUUCCCUUAUGAAACAAAAGAGAGCAAGAAAGAAACAGGUUUACCAGGAUCUCCUUCAGUUCAGUCCUGUGGCAAACACCAAAUACAAUUCAGCAGCUCCAGACCAGUCCUCUGGGCAGGCAGACAAUAGGCACAAACCAGCAGCUACAGUCCAGUCCUUUCAGCAAGGAGACACUGGGCAUGAACCAGCAGAUGUAGUUUAUCUUGAAGAAACCACCAGGCUCACCAAAUGUCCUACAGCAAUGCCUCAGAAGUUACAGGCUGCUGCAAGAACCUCACAAGAAGUUUUUGGGUGGGAAUGGAGAUUAGCCACUGUCGUGAAAGGAUAACCCGCAGAAGGACUCUAUCUGCUCUGUGCAUGCACACUUGGCUCCAGUGCAGUUCCAGAGAAGAAUUGGGCUAUGGACACUGAGACCUGCACUGGCCUCUGCAUCCCCUCCAAGCCUCCCAACAGCCAUUUUACUUUUCUUUUAAGUGUGUGUGCGCGCGCGUGUGCACGAGUGUGCGUGUGUGCUCAUAGAGGCCAGAAGAGUAUCGAAGCCCUUGGGGCUAGAGUUGUAGGCACCUGUGACCCGCCCAACGUGGGUGCUUCGAACCCCUGGUCCUUCAGAAGAGCAGUGAACUUUAACUGUUGAACAGUCUCCCGAGACCUGCUCACUGUGUUUUAAAGUCACCACUUUCUUUCCCUCACCACGGAAUGUUUCAGAUCUUUCUCACGGCUCCAACUUCAGUGCUCACCUGACCUUAAUCUUUAUAGGUGAUUUUCUUACCUCAUUCCACUCUUCCCCCUUACCUCUCACCAAAAGGCCACACAGCUAAACACUCUGCCACCAGAACGACUUCCCUUCCCACUCAGAGAUCAUCUGUGAAUGUUCAAGGUCGGCUCUAAUGCCUCCCCUAGCUGUCCACUCUCUCUGCCAGGACAUACUUUCCCAUAGUUCAUUUCUGUGACCUUGGCCUCUGUACUGAUGUCACUGGGUACAGUGCCCUUCAGGAAGACAUGGGACUGACUGUCUCUUCAGAACGUAUAGUUAGAUUGGAGAUAUAUGUCUCUCCCAGCAGGCUGCCCCAGUUUUAAUGUGUGGUAUAGAAAAGGCCAAGCCCUCUGCGCUGAGUGGGGCUUAGAGCUCUCCUGUGGCCUUCUUCUUUGCCAGAGGCAUUUUUGCAGUCCUAAGAGCUCACUUCCCUGUAGGUCAGUAUGGUGCUGACGUUUGACUGUGAGAUCACCCCCAGAGGGCAUGUGUAAGAGGUAAAACUGACUGUUCUCAAAAAUGCUUUGAGCCAACUUAGGUCCAACUACAAAAAAAUAGGAAACACGAAGCCUCUGCCAGUGCCUUCUCUAGUUAUUCCCCACCCAAACUAGAAGUCAAGAGCAGAAACUUACAGCCAAGCUUUCUUGCAUCUGACGAGGCUGUAAAAAUGAAAGCACACUGUUUUUGUUGGGAAAAAGACAAACAGAAGGGUCAGAGGGAGAGGUAAGAUCGAGAUGGUAUGUAAGAUGUCUGUCCUGACUACUAGGAAAGGGAGAAAGGGCCCACAUUGGAGUUAUAAAUUCUGCACUUGGCUGAUGCCCAACUUAGCAAAGGCAUCUACUGUUCUGUCCCUGGAGCUCUUAUUAUGAAGUGAGGAUCACCAUUCUUCACACUUGUAUGGUAGGAGUGGAUUCAGCCCAGCUCUGUUCUGCUGGGCUUCAGAGGACCUUCAUCCAGUGACAUUGAUUCCUGUCACCAAAAGAGGCAGCCAGCUCUGUCUGAUGUGCUCAGUGAAGCACCCUGUGGGCUUCCCUCACUUCCCUUCAUACAUUCUCCAUUUCUAUAUCUGUUGAAUGUACCUAAAAAGCAAACUUUCCAACUCCAAUCCUUGACCCAGAUCACUUCUCCUUUGUUCCUUUCCUGACUGAGUCUCACUAGGCACAUUGACCAAGAGGCUACACCUCAUGGCCUCAUGUCCAGUAGUAGAUGGUUAACAGAAAAUGAACUCGAUGAUAUUUUUGGAGAUAUUUUUAUCUCAAAUUGCUUUGUUCAGCCACCUUUUGUCUUAUUAGUCCUUUGCUUGUAUAUUUUGGUUUCCGUGUGUGUGUGUGUGUGUGUGUGUGUGUGUGUGUGUUUCUGUUUUUUGUUUUGUUGUUUUGUUUUUUUAAGAGGGUGGGGAGAAAGGUAGGUAAAGAGGUGGGGAUGACCUGGGAGGAUUUGGGGGAGGGGAAAAUAGUCAUCAGAUAGUCAUCAGACUAUAUUCUAAGAAAGACACAGGUAGAUGGAAUGAGAGGGUGGAUCUGAAAAGGGUUGAGGGAAGUGACCGAGAAUGACCAAAACACAAUAUACAAAUUUUCCAAGAAUUGUAAAUAAAGAAUUUAUUACAAAAGAAACU
ensembl:antisense